GGGGUUGUGGCUCAGUGGCAGAGUGCUUGCUUCGCAUGCAUGAGGCCCUGGGUUCAAUCCCUAGCACCACA
rnacentral:tRNA from 1 species